GACGAACGCUGGCGGCGUGCUUAACACAUGCAAGUCGAACGGAAAGGCCCUGCUUUUGUGGGGUGCUCGAGUGGCGAUCGGGUGAGUAACACGUGAGUAACCUGCCCUUGACUUUGGGAUAACUUCAGGAAACUGGGGCUAAUACCGGAUAGGAGCUCCUGCUGCAUGGUGGGGGUUGGAAAGUUUCGGCGGUUGGGGAUGGACUCGCGGCUUAUCAGCUUGUUGGUGGGGUAGUGGCUUACCAAGGCUUUGACGGGUAGCCGGCCUGAGAGGGUGACCGGCCACAUUGGGACUGAGAUACGGCCCAGACUCCUACGAGAGGCAGCAGUGGGGAAUAUUGCACAAUGGGCGGAAGCCUGAUGCAGCAACGCCGCGUGCGGGAUGACGGCCUUCGGGUUGUAAACCGCUUUCGCCUGUGACGAAGCGUGAGUGACGGUAAUGGGUAAAGAAGCACCGGCUAACUACGUG
rnacentral:rRNA from 1 species